GCUGCUGAUCCAGGAAUGGAUGUAGUCUGGACCUGUUACAAUUCCCUACAAUUUUCUGUUGGAACUGGAGGAGCAGAGGCUUUCUCUCACCUCGACCUGUGGAUCUGUGAGACUGACUUUAGAAGAAGAGAACUUGAGCAGUCGUUUCUUUCACUAUGGCCACAGCCCAGGGCCUGUGUCUGGUGGAUGCUACUUCCCAUGCUGUGGAAUGACAAUGGAAAAGGACCACCAGGACUGUUAAGUGGAGUAAAUGAAGCGGCAAAUUGGAAAGAGCCUAUACUUUGGAGUCAGGUAGACUGCCUUUGAAUCCUGACUCUGUCACUGACCAGCCGUAAGACCUUGAGCAAGUAACCAACCACCUAGGACAAGAUCAAAGGCCCCUAGAAAGUAGGGGGUUAUGGGGGAAAAUAAUAAAUAUGGCAUUAAAUUAUACUCUUUAACAAAUAAAAUAUAGAAAAUAAGAGUUUUUAAAAGCAA